AUACGUACCGAUAUAACUGUUCUAUAGGACCUGUAUGUUGAGUGCUCAUGGCUUCCAGAUUCGUAACAAUAUGUCCUGCAAUGCGGGACUAGUCUAUUAAAUGGAUUUUUGGUCUCGGGAGUUGGAUUCGGGGCUUGCUCCGUCCGCUCCAUGCAUCGACCCGGUAUUGCAGUACCUCCGAGAACGGUGCACCCCCU
rnacentral:snRNA from 1 species